CCCGCAGAGCUCCGCCCGAGUCCACCCGUUGAGCCUUCGCUGCAGCCGGGUCUCCAGCGCAGAAGCUAAACCUGAAGCAGGACGGCGCCUGCGGGGGAGAAGGAGCAUUUAUCUCGCGGACCCGGAAACAGACCGAGACACUCUUACGAAUCGCGUUCCCCACAAGAGAAGUGCCCCUGGGUUCUACUCCCGUGAAGCCAAGUCAUGUCCAGCAUCCAUGCUCUAAGACCAAGCAAUCAGCAGGACCUACCUACCUUGGUUACUGCAUGACUUCUGUCUUUGCUGGAAGACAAUCUAAGGGCCAGGGAGGGGCCAUCUGGACAGAAGUGUUGCUAAUGAAAGCCAAGAUACAGCAGAAGAAAGAGACAACUCUUCAGAAACCUGCCGGACUCCCUCCUGUGAUGGACAAGACAUCUGUUUGUUCCAUCU
ensembl:lncRNA